UAAUGGUCCCGAUCGGAUACCUGAGAG
rnacentral:piRNA from 1 species